CUCUCGGUCGUCUAGUUGGUUUAUGGCGUCGGACUGUAAUGGUUACAUAUUCAGAAUCAUCCGAAUGUCGCGCGUUCGACUCGCGCCUGAGAGA